rnacentral:rRNA from 1 species
CCUACGGGUGGCAGCAGUGGGGGAUAUUGCACAAUGGGGGAAACCCUGAUGCAGCGACGCCGCGUGAGUGAAGAAGUAUUUCGGUAUGUAAAGCUCUAUCAGCAGGGAAGAAAAUGACAGUACCUGCCCAAGAAGCCCCGGGUAACUAAGUGCCAGGAGCCGCGGUAAUACGGAGGGGGCAAGCGUUAUCCGGAUUUACUGGGUGGAAAGGGGGCGUGGAGGGUUAGGUAAGGUUGGGGUGAAGGCCCGGGGCCCAACCCCGGGACUGCUUUGGAAAGUGGGGAACUGGAGUACAGGAGGGGCAGGCGGAAUUCCUGGUGUAGCGGGGAAAUGCGUAGAUAUCAGGAGGAACACCGGCGGCGAAGGCGGCCUGCUGGACUGAAACUGACGUUGAGGCUCGAAAGCGUGGGGAGCAAACAGGAUUAGAUACCCUAGUAGUC